rnacentral:rRNA from 1 species
AUUUCCCUAGGUGAACCUGCGGAAGGAUCAUUAGUGAAACUAGGACGUCCAACUUAACUUGGAGUCCCAACUCUCACUUUCUAACCCUGUGCAUCUGUUUUAAAAAUGGCUAGUAGCUCUUCGGAGCGAACCACCAUUUUUCACUUAUACAAACACAAAGUCUAUGAAAGUAAACAAAAUUAUAACAAAACAAAACUUUCAACAACGGAUCUCUUGGCUCUCGCAUCGAUGAAGAACGCAGCGAAAAGCGAUACGUAAAGUGAAAUGCAGAAAUCAGUGAAUCAUCGAAACUUUGAACGCACCUUGCGCUCCUUGGUAUUCCCAGGAGCAUGCCUGUUUGAGUGUCAUGAAAACUUCAACCCACCUCUUUCUUAGUGAAACUGGUGGUGCUUGGUUUCUGAGCGCUGCUCUGCUUCGGCUUAGCUCGUUCGUAAAGCAUUAGCAUCCCCAACCCAAACUUCGGAUUGACUUGGCGUAAAAGACUAUUCGCUGAGGAUUCCAGACUUGUUCUGGAGCCCAGUUGGGUUAAAGGAAGCUUCUAAACCUAAAGUCUAUUUUUUGAUUAGAUCUCAAAACAGGUAGGACUACCCCCUGAACUUAAGCAUAUCAAAAAGCGGAGGAAAA